CCAAACUAUGUUCUCACCCCCCCCCUCCAUAAUCCUGCCCCCAACUCCCUCUGGCCUAUCAGCUACCGCUCCCAAGUGUCUGUCAGCUCUGCCCCUACCUCUACCAGCCUCCUGAUUGGACCAGAGAAGAAAAAAUGGGAGUGGCUGCAGAGGGCAGGGCCCCGCCCGUGUGUCUUCGUCUUUUGCAAGAUGGCGAAGAAAUGGGGCGGAGCUUUUUUGUUGUUGUUUGUUGUUGUUGUUUUGUUUUUGUUUAGAUUCUGAAAACGUUGCACCUUAAUUUCCCAUUGGGCCUGAGAGCUCAGAGACUGUCGGAUGUUUCGACACGGAGACUGUCGAUGUUUCGACUCUUUGUAUUUGACUUUUUUUUUUUAACGUGUCGACGACGACGACGAGAAGGAGGUGGAAUGUCAGAGAGUCGUGAGUUCUGAGGAGAUCCGGUGAGGUUCUGCGUUCUGAGGAGAUCCGCCUGGACCCUUCAGGUCUCUCUGGCCUGAUUGGAUCAUCUUAGGACUGGUACGCUCCCAUUGAGUGCUGGAUUAGCUGUUAGCAUUAGCUAGCCUGGAAGCUCACAUCAGGUACUUUUAGCAAAGAAGAGAGGCUCUCCAUAGGGUACAAAAUGUCAGUCCACUCUAAUUCUUCGACCCCACUUUGUGGUACCCUGUUCCGAGUUCUGUUCUCACAAGACUCUUAGAACCGACAGAAUGUGUGGGGCUUGAUAGGGCCUCUUUCUUCCUCAGCACUUUCCGUUAGAACUUUGUACAGGACUUUAGCUUGAUAGCACUUCAGGUGGUUUCACAACUCUCAUCACAUACAAUCUGUAAUUCUAUAGACUCUACAAUACUCAACAAGACAUCUUUACUUCAAUAGACUUCACAAUACUCAACGGUACUUCAAAUACUUCUGUGUACUUUUACGAUGUUUAACUGUACCUUGGUACUCUUAGGUCUCUUCUCAAUACUUACUGUACUUCAAUAUUUCAGUAGACUUCACAGUUCAUGGGAUGGUGCUUUGGUUCUCCUGAGUAGACAGUUACAGAACUGCCUGUGCUCAGCAGUGCUUGAUAGUUCUCUGCGCCUGCUCUCUGUUGCCCUCUGAUUUAGUCAGACUACACCACAGUGCUAUAUAAACUCAAUGCCUUCAGACUGGAAGCUAGUUUUACAGCGUCUGAAACCUGGCUCUUUAGUAGUUUCUUUGUCUUUUUUUUUCUUUUCUUGUUUUCUUUUUUUUUGUUGCCUGAAAUACACUCCCAAGGGUUCCCUUCCAUCCCUUGCUCUCAUACAUCCAAACAC